rnacentral:rRNA from 1 species
UACAGGGGGGGUAAGCGUUGUUCGGAAUUACUGGGCGUAAAGGGUCUGUAGGUGGCCAACUAAGUCAGACGUGAAAUCCCUCAGCUUAACUGGGGAACUGCGUCUGAUACUGGAUGGCUCGAGUGUGGGAGAGGAAUGCGGAAUUCUAGGUGUAGCGGUGAAAUGCGUAGAUAUCUGGAGGAACACCGGUGGCGAAGGCGGCAUUCUGGACCACAACUGACACUGAGAGACGAAAGCCAGGGGAGCAAACGGG